GGAAGAGUGGUACUGGGAAGAGAGGAAGAGUGGUACUGGGAAGAGAAGAGUGGUACUGGGAAGAGAAGAAGAGUGGUACUGGGAAGAGAGAGAGUGGUACUGGGAAGAGAGGAAGAGUGGUACUGGGAAGAGAGGAAGAGUGGUACUGGGAAGAGAAGAAGAGUGGUACUGGAAAGAGAGGAAGAGUGGUACUGGAAAGAGUGGUACUGGAAAGAGAAGAAGAGUGGUACUGGAAAGAGUGGUACUGGGAAGAGAAGAAGAGUGGUACUGGAAAGAGAGGAAGAGUGGUACUGGGAAGAGAAGAAGAGUGGUACUGGAAAGAGAGGAAGAGUGGUACUGGGAAGAGAGGAAGAAUGGUACUGGAAAGAGAAGAAGAGUGGUACUGGAAAGAGUGGUACUGGGAAGAGAAGAAGAGUGGUACUGGGAAGAGAGGAAGAGUGGUACUGGAAAGAGUGGUACUGGGAAGAGAAGAAGAGUGGUACUGGAAAGAGAAGAAGAGUGGUACUGGGAAGAGAAGAAGAGUGGUACUGGGAAGAGAAGAAGAGUGGUACUGGAAAGAGUGGUACUGGGAAGAGAAGAAGAGUGGUACUGGGAAGAGAGGAAGAGUGGUACUGGAAAGAGUGGUACUGGGAAGAGAAGAAGAGUGGUACUGGAAAGAGAAGAAGAGUGGUACUGGAAAGAGAGGAAGAGUGGUACUGGAAAGAGAGGAAGAGUGGUACUGGGAAGAGAGGAAGAGUGGUACUGGGAAGAGAGGAAGAGUGGUACUGGGAAGAGAAGAAGAGUGGUACUGGGAAGAGAAGAAGAGUGGUACUGGGAAGAGAAGAAGAGUGGUACUGGGAAGAGAGGAAGAGUGGUACUGGAAAGAGAGGAAGAGUGGUACUGGGAAGAGAGGAAGAGUGGUACUGGAAAGAGAGGAAGAGUGGUACUGGAAAGAGGAAGAGUGGUACUGGAAAGAGAGGAAGAGUGGUACUGGAAAGAGAGGAAGAGUGGUACUGGGAAGAGAGGAAGAGUGGUACUGGGAAGAGUGGUACUGGGAAGAGAAGAAGAGUGGUACUGGAAAGAGAGGAAGAGUGGUACUGGGAAGAGAAGAAGAGUGGUACUGGAAAGAGAGGAAGAGUGGUACUGGGAAGAGAAGAAGAGUGGUACUGGGAAGAGAGGAAGAGUGGUACUGGAAAGAGAGGAAGAGUGGUACUGGGAAGAGAAGAAGAGUGGUACUGGAAAGAGAAGAAGAGUGGUACUGGAAAGAGAGGAAGAGUGGUACUGGGAAGAGAAGAAGAGUGGUACUGGAAAGAGUGGAAGAGUGGUACUGGAAAGAGAAGAAGAGUGGUACUGGAAAGAGAGGAAGAGUGGUACUGGAAAGAGAGGAAGAGUGGUACUGGAAAGAGAGGAAGAGUGGUACUGGAAAGAGAGGAAGAGUGGUACUGGGAAGAGAAGAAGAGUGGUACUGGGAAGAGAAGAAGAGUGGUACUGGAAAGAGAAGAAGAGUGGUACUGGAAAGAGAGGAAGAGUGGUACUGGGAAGAGAAGAAGAGUGGUACUGGGAAGAGUGGUACUGGGAAGAGAAGAAGAGUGGUACUGGAAAGAGUGGUACUGGGAAGAGAGGAAGAGUGGUACUGGAAAGAGAGGAAGAGUGGUACUGGGAAGAGAAGAAGAGUGGUACUGGGAAGAGUGGUACUGGGAAGAGAAGAAGAGUGGUACUGGAAAGAGAGGAAGAGUGGUACUGGAAAGAGAAGAAGAGUGGUACUGGAAAGAGUGGUACUGGGAAGAGAGGAAGAGUGGUACUGGAAAGAGAGGAAGAGUGGUACUGGAAAGAGAGGAAGAGUGGUACUGGGAAGAGAGGAAGAGUGGUACUGGAAAGAGAAGAAGAGUGGUACUGGGAAGAGAAGAAGAGUGGUACUGGAAAGAGUGGUACUGGGAAGAGAGGAAGAGUGGUACUGGGAAGAGAAGAAGAGUGGUACUGGGAAGAGAAGAAGAGUGGUACUGGGAAGAGAGGAAGAGUGGUACUGGGAAGAGAGGAAGAGUGGUACUGGGAAGAGAGGAAGAGUGGUACUGGGAAGAGUGGUACUGGGAAGAGAGGAAGAGUGGUACUGGGAAGAGAGGAAGAGUGGUACUGGAAAGAGAGGAAGAGUGGUACUGGGAAGAGUGGUACUGGGAAGAGAGGAAGAGUGGUACUGGAAAGAGAAGAAGAGUGGUACUGGGAAGAGAAGAAGAGUGGUACUGGAAAGAGAGGAAGAGUGGUACUGGAAAGAGAAGAAGAGUGGUACUGGAAAGAGAAGAAGAGUGGUACUGGAAAGAGAGGAAGAGUGGUACUGGAAAGAGAGGAAGAGUGGUACUGGAAAGAGAAGAAGAGUGGUACUGGAAAGAGAAGAAGAGUGGUACUGGAAAGAGAAGAAGAGUGGUACUGGAAAGAGAGAGAGUGGUACUGGGAAGAGAGGAAGA
ensembl:lncRNA